AUCAAUCACAUUCUUCGAAGUCUCAGGUGUCAAUCGAAAUCCUUCCCAAUUUAUAUGCGAAGCCCUAUCAGAACAUGUUAAAACUCCUUUCUCUCCACACUGCUUAUGCGGAUCAAAAUUAAACGGACCGCUUCCAGUACUACUGCAACAAACCUUCAUCAAUGUCUUAGUCUUGAAUCCCAAGAAUGCAUUGAUUGCGAAGAAUAGACAUAAAUGCCUUGUAAUAAUCCACAUAUAUAAUCUCAACUUCAGGGUACUUCAAUCGCAACUCCUCCAACGCUUGCCACGGAUGAUCAUUGUUACAAUCAGAUGACUGUUUUUGACAUGAUAAUUUGCUAAUAAUUCACUUCCAUUUUUUUCCGUUUCUAUGUCAGGUUGUACGUCAUAGCGCCUAUGCUAAUGACCCAUAUGCCAAGGAGUUUGGUAUUAAGAUUAUUGACAAGUUGGCACAAGUUGAGUCUCCUAUUUUGCCUCCACUUCAGCUUAAGUAUCAUGAUACGGUCGAGAAAAAGACUGUCUGCCACAAGUUGGCCAAUGGAAUAUGAUGAAUAAGAAAAGGGUAAAUAGAAGAACGGUUAACAAUUGGAUCUGCAUACACUUUUUUCGAAAUGUGCAAGACAGUGUUGCACAUGAGUUUUGUUCUGAGCUUGAACAAAUGUGCCAGAUAUAUGGCAUGGUAAAAAAUAGUGGCUCUCUUUAAGGUGAUCUGAAGAGAAUUUGUGAGACUGAACUGUGAGUUCUCGCGCAAUGCUGUUUGACAAAACAUGUAUUUAAGAUGAGCAAACAGUAUCUAGCCAAUGUAGCUCUGAAAAUAAAUGUGAAGGUGGGAGGAAGAAACACUAUUCUUGAUGCAAUAGCGAGGCGAAUUCCCCUUGUUAGCGACUGUCCUACCAUAAAUUUGGUGCAGAUGUCACUCACUCUCACCCUAGGGAGGACUCUAGCCCAUCCAUUGCCGCAGUAUAGGAAACUUAAUGACAAGGCAACAACAUGCCAACCAGCAAACUGAAUUCUCCAUAGCAAAACUUACUGGGGUAAGAACAGGAGUGGCUCCAAUUCAAAGUUUCUCCUAAGAGAGCAUACAGAGUAAUCCAGCUCCAGUACGUUAUGUUGCUGCUGCUGCAUGAUGAUCUUGUACGUACUUAAACUCUGGAAAUACAUAACCAUUUUUGCUGAAGAGAGUAUCAAUCAUAUUCUUCGAAGCCUCAGGUGUCAAUCGAAAUCCAUCCCUAAUGUGUAUACGAAUCCCUAUCUGAACACGCUACAACUCCUUUCUCUCCACACUGCUUCAGAGGUACUACCACAACAAACCCUCAUCAACGUCUUAGACUUGAAUCCCAAGAAUGCAUGAUUGCGAAUAAUACCCAUGAACGCCUUGUAAUAAUCUGCAUAUAUGAUCUCAACUUCAGGGUUACUUCAAUCGCAGCUCCUCCAACGCUUGCCACAGAUGAUCAUUGUGCAAUGUUGCAAACAAAUUUAGUCCUUUGUGACAUUUAAUUUUCCUGCUAUUGUUGUUUUCGGGACAUUAUUUGGAAACCAGGCAGGAAACCCAUGGGAAUAAUUCCAGAAACCACAUAGUGUUUGGCCGAUGCAUCUUUGAUCAGUUGUUCGAUAGAACUCUUGAUUGUGUCCACAACAUCUGGGACAAGCUUGCACACUUCGGAAAUAGAUUUUGUA